rnacentral:rRNA from 1 species
AACGUAGGAGGCAAACGUUAUCCGGAGUUACUGGGCGUAAAGGGCGUGUAGGUGGUUUCGUAAGUCUGGCGUGAAAUUUUUCGGCUUAACCGGGAAAGGUCGUCGGAUACUGCGGAACUAGAGGACGGUAGAGGCGUGUGGAAUUCCGGGUGUAGUGGUGAAAUGCGUAGAGAUCCGGAGGAACACCAAAGGCGAAGGCAGUGUCCUGGGGAGUACCUGACGCUCAGGUGCGAAAGCCAGGGGAGCGAACAGG